rnacentral:lncRNA from 1 species
GGAUUGAGGAUUAUACAGAUUUAGACUUCAUGUCGGAUCCUGAUGAUAGAAAGUUUACAUCGGGGUAUGCGUUCGAUUACAAUAGUGGUGCAGUUAGCUAAAAAUGUUUCAAGCAGAGCAUCAUCACAGAUUCGACUAUAGAGACUGAGUAUACCACCACUUCGGAUGCUGCAAAGGAAGGCUUUUGAUUCAAAAAUUUGUCGCAGAACUUGAUGCAAUGACAUCCGAUGCCAUACUACUGUACUGCGACAACAAUGGAGCCAUAGCACUUGCUAAGGAGUCUCAAUCUCAUCAAU